rnacentral:lncRNA from 1 species
GCUACCUGGCAUGUGAUGCUCUUCCAGGACCAACAUCUCUUGGGAACCUUCUUUUUGCACUUGAUACCACGGAUGCACUAAAUUCUCCAUUGACUCAGGAAUUGUGUCAGAAAAAAAAUGAGGAUUGUGGUCUGAAAUUCCACCAGGACACAGAAAAGACAACUUAUUUCUGCUCCAUGAUAUUUGAGACUUCAGCUGAAAAGAGUCAAAGACUGACGAGUUGUAAAGUGGUUGGUGGCAAAGUCAUUUCAAAUGAUUCCUCACAUGUCCGGUGGAUGAUGCUGGCUAUUGUCUGGAACCUCAGCUGAGACUGUCAGUCAAAGCAUUCAGAGCUUUUGCACAUGGUCUUUCCACGUAGCCUGAUUUCUUCAUAGCAAGGCAGUUUCAGAGUCUCAGGACUCCAAGAGCUGUCUCCAAAGAGAGCUGGUCUCCAAAGAGGAGGAGGAAGCUGUGUGACUUGAAAUUUAUGCAAUGCCACUUCUGCUUCGUUCUAUUGUAAGUGGAGUCACCCUGGGUGACCCAGAAUCAAGAACAGGUGACACAGAUUCCACCUCUUGUUGGGAGGAGUGCCAAAUAAUGUACACAUGUCUUUUAAAACUGCCAUAAUGACCUUAUGCAGAUUGCUUAGGGCCAACCUACGUAGUACAGCGGAAUUUCAUUUCCUUCUCUAUAGGUCUUGUAUCAGAGCCACUGGGCCACAUGAGGAAGAAUGUCCUUAGCAACAAGAUCAAUUGGGUUUUCCUUUCUUUCACUCCAUGUAACGCUUAAAAUAAUGUUACAUUUUAUUAUGCUUUGUAUUUUGUAUUUGAAUCAUUGAUCUGUUGCAUAGUUCUCAUUUUUCCUCUCUUUAAAGCUUUUAAUUGCAUUACUUUUUCUUCCACAAUUUGCCUUAAUUUUCUCCUCAAUUUUUUCCCCAGUAGCUCAACUUUACCUUCUAAUCUUGAAAUCCUUUCUUUCUGGGUGCCUUUUCUCAGGACUCCUUGUUUGUUUUUUGUUUGUUUUUUUGUUUGUUUGUUUUGUUGUUGUUUUGUGCUAACCAGGGAAGGUUCUCACCAGGCUUAGGGUACAGCUGUCAUGUUGAGAUUCUCAUUUGCUGCUCUCCUGCAUUGGGGAUAUCUAGGCUUCCAUUUUCUUGGUUGAUUCUCUUUUUUUCUGAGUUCUUCUCCUAAAGAAGGAUAUCUAUGAGGUAAAUUUUAUGAGCACUUCUAUGUAUGAAAAUGUCUACUUUCAUUGUUAAACACUAGUUUAGUCACAUAGGCAGUGUAAUAGGUCAAAAAUAAGUAUCCUGUCAUACUUUUAAAGGAAUUUUCAUAUUGUCUUCUAGAAUCCAGUGCUGCUGAUGAGAAUUCUGAUGUCAGUCUUAUUUAUUUUCUUUGUAAGUGGCCUGUGAUUUUUUUACUCACCUUUCUUGAAUAUCUUCCUCUAUUGGAAUAUUUUUAAAAAUGUAUCUUGGCUGGGUGUGGUGGCUCACGCCUGUAAUCCCAGCACUUUGGGAGGCUGAGUUGGGCAGAUCUUGAGGUCAGGAGAUUGAGACCAUCCUGACGAACACGGUGAAACCCAUCUCUACUAAAAAUACAAAAACAAAAUUAGCUGGGCGUGGUGGCGGGCGUCUGUAGUCCCAGCUACUCAGGAGGCUGAAGCAGGAGAAUGGCAUGAACCCAGGAGGUGGAGCUUGUAGUGAACCGAGAUCGCGCCGCUGCACUCUAGUCUGGGUGACAGAGCAAGACUCUGUCUCAAAAAAAAAAAAAAAAAAAAAAAUUAUCUUUACUUUCGGUUUAUUCGGUUUUGUAAACAAGGUGUAGGUCUAUUUUUAUUGAUUAUGCACAUCAUGCGGUGGGAUGGAAACUGCUAUACUUUAGCUCUGAGAGCUUCUAUAUAAUAUUUUUGGUAAUUUUCUUUGAUUUAUUUCUUCUCUUCUAGAACCUCAGUAUAUCUUGACUUUUCUCAUAUUUUACAUUUCUUUCUCUCUUUUAAAAUUGCUAAAGUAACUUUCUCUUUUGAUUGUUCCUUUUUCAUAACACCAUCUUAUUUUAGUUAUAACUUUUAGAACAUUUUUUGGACUAUUAAGAAGGUUUUUUAAAAAAAGUUUUGUGGUUUUUUUUACUCUAUUAUUUAAUCUAUAUUUCUCUCUCUGUGUCUUCACUUGGUUUUUCUCUCAUACUACUUUCUUCACUCAUAUGCCUAAUGAUCCUUUGAUGUCCACACAGAUUUUUAUAUUACGAGAAUUCCUUCGGCUAUUGCUGUAAAAGGAUGCUUGCCAAUAAAUUUUUUCUCGAGUAGAAUUUGUGCUUUGGAGCCCCUCGUGGUGAAACAGGUGUGUUAUGAACUAGCAGAUUGCCAUUUAAGAUGAGCAAGUAGGAGUUAACUCUCAGACUACUGAAGCUCCAAGUCCCAGAAAGGGAGUGGCUUUCUGGGGAUUAGACACCUAAGCCUUGCACCUUAAAUGUCUCUAUAUAUUUUAUUAAAUUUUACUAUAGUAGAGAUUUCUGCUAUAAGAAGACAAAUAAAGCCUAUUUUUGCUCUGAG